AUUAAUUAUAUUAUACAAAAUUAAAUAGCACGAAUAGAAGUGAGCUAAACAUGUAUACAUUUAGUGUAUGGUACGUAGUAUAGUAUAAAUAAAUAUAUGUUUAGGGGUGAUAGGCUUUCCAAACUUUUUGAUAGCUUGAUGCAUAUGAAAUGUAUUUAGUACGUAGACGUACUUAAAAAGUUAAGCUUUUAAGUAUUUAUUAAAGAUAUUCCAGAAUAUUCACGCAGAAUAGUUCCUGGUUAUAAAAUAUGUUUAUAUUUAGUUUAUGAUUAUUAUAUUAAUUAAUAUGCCAGUAUAAAUUAUAUUUUUACUUGAUAAUGUUAAUAUUAGUAGAAAAAUUUAAAUACAUUAAAUGAACUCGGCAAAUCUUAUUGCUCAACUGUUUACCAAAAACAUAGCUGCUUGAAUUAAUAUGUAGUUAUUUCUGCUCAAUGAUUAUUCAAUAGCCGCAGUACCCUGACUGUGCAAAGGUAGCAUAAUCAGUUGGCUUUUAAUUGAAGUCUGGAAUGAAUGAAAACAUGGGUGAUAGCUGUCUUAAUGUAUUUUGUUGAAGUUAAUAAAUAAGUGAAAAUGCUUAUGAUAAUAUAAUAGACGAGAAGACCCUAGAAACUUGAAGUGUUUUUUGUUGGGGCGACAGAAUUGCAUGUAACCAAUUUUACAGACAGGACAUAAGAGUGGAAGAAUAAGUUACUCUAGGGAUAACAGCAUAAUUUAAAUAGUUUGUGACCUCGAUGUUGGACUAGGUAUUAUAUUCUUUAGACAAGGGUAUAGAAUGCUCUGUUCGAGCAAUUGCACCUACAU
rnacentral:rRNA from 1 species